rnacentral:rRNA from 1 species
UGCGUAGGCGGAGUGAUAUGUCGGGUGUGAAAUCCCUCGUUUCAAGCGAGGAACUGCAUCCGAAACUGUCACCCUUGAGUCCUGGAGAGGGAAGCGGAAUUCCUGGUGUAGAGGUGAAAUUCGUAGAGAUCAGGAGGAACAUCCGUGGCGAAGGCGGCUUCCUGGACAGUGACUGACGCUGAGGCGCGAAAGCGUGGGGAGCAAACAGGAUUAGAUACCCUGGUAGUCC